UCUUUAUAGUUAGCAGAAGAAUAUAUAAUGCACAUUUAAGGAUUAAUGAAUUUGACUUUUAUGAUUUGACUGUGAAGCUUUCCUUGACUGAAUUCACUCAUCAUACACUUCGGCUUCUGAAACAAAGCUGAGAUCUUCUGGUGAUGACUUGUAAAUCCUCUGCAGGGAUGCAGAACAGCAGCAACCAAUAUGCUAGGAGCAGCAGCAUUAAAGAUUUUUCUGUGGAAUUCUGAAUCACUGUAGUUUGACAGAAGUGGAAAAAUUUCCUGCGGUUUAUCAUGCCUAGGGUAGUAUUAAAGAUUAUCCUCUUCUGUGGAACUGGAAGCAGAAAAACCUGAUCUUCUUAUUGGAGGAAAAGACAGUUUAAGGCACCAGAAUGAGCAAAUGGGAGUCAAUCUACUGUGUUCUGGUUACUGUCAUACUAUUAAGAUGUGCUUAAAUUUAAAAGUGUUUGUGUACAAAAUCUUCUACCAAUCUGUAGAAUACAUGGACAGAGAAUAAUUUCUCUUCUGCAGGUUGUCAUAUGAUUUCCAUGUUUUUUUUAUCUUGAGAAAAAAAAUACCAUUUCUAAACUCUCAGUGGCAGAAAAAAUUCAGAUCUGACGAAAAUUGUCUGACAAAGUUUAAAGAUUUUCUUAUUUUAUAUUUAAAAUAAUAACAAUAAAAUUGAAAGGAAAAAGAAAAAAUGAAUUAUUCUUUUAAAAAAAUUUAAAAAUAAAGUGUUACAAUGUUGUAUGGAAUUCCUUUUUCCUCAAAAACAGAACAGCAAAGAAAAUUCAUGUUUUCAUACCUUCAUUUUUUCAACAAAUAUUGAAAAUUUUAUUUAACAAAUCUAUUUUGUUAGAAAUACCAAAACCUACAUUACAUAUGUUAAGUAGAUCAAAAUACAUUCAUCAUUUCUUCCAGUUAGACAUGAUACAUUUUUAUCCAGAGCCACUGUCAUUAGCCAAGACAAAAAGUUGUGGGCAAUGCUUAUGCAUUACUUUGACCCUUAAAUCAGGGAUAUUGCCCUAAAAUAGCUUGACAUGUUUAAAAAUGUUCACGAUGAGUAUUUCACUCUCUUGGUAGCUGCUAUCAGAACUGCCAGCAGAUGGUGCCUUGGCUAAACCUCUACUGCUAAGCAAACACAGUAUAUUUUUAGAAACAUAUUCAAACAAAUUCCCCCAGAAUAUCUGCUAAUAUUCACUUCUUGAUAUCUGAGAUGAUUGUGAACUAAAAGGUAAGCACUUUGUUAUUUAUUAAAGAAAAAUGAAUGCAAGCAGUAGAAGAUACCAGAAGAAUAAGUCUUAAAAUGGCAAUGAUUUCUUUAUCUGACUAAAUGAUAAAAUGUACUGAAUGAAAAGAAUGAAGUAUAUGUUCAAGGAUGUUAGUCAAGUUUCAUCACCUUUAGAUAGUGACCUUUAGAAAGUUUGUUGGUAAUAAAUCUGGUGUGGAGGAGGACAUAUGGAAGAGCAAGCGAGAAUGUAUCUAUGGAGACUGACCAUGAAUGAAGUCAGUUUUGCACCUAUCUUUCAAAAUAGAUGUUUGUAGAGUCUUUUGGCAGCCUGUUUUUUCACAUGAAACUCAUACAACUGCCUUUUGCAAUUUUAUUCCUAUUUUAUUCCUUGAAAUUUGUUGGUUAGUAUAGCACUUUGUCAUGUGCCUCUGUUUGCAUGCAAGCAAGAUAAUAGAAAUUAUUAGAAAGAAGUUUAGAAAAGAAUAAGUGAAAUCAUCAUUGUCACCUUUAUAAUAACUCUUCUGAUUUUUAUAAGAUCUACUUGAGAAUAAUUAUUUUACUGAUCAAAAUGAAAAAAAGAGCAGAGAAAUAACCAUUGCUACAAAUCACAGGGUGACGGUGGAAACUCAGUAUAGAAAGGAAAAUACCUUUUUAAGCACCAUUUUAAGCCUAGUGCAACCUCAUACAAGCUACAAGGUCGUAGAAGCUGUUUUCAGUUGUAGACAAAAUGAUCUCUGCAUGCCAUACCCAAGUUUAAUAAGUAUUGUAGGAUUUAAUGACAUUUCUUCAGUCUGAGAAGUAGACUGCAAUAAGUGGGACAUCUAUUAAAAUAUUGAUUUCUGUUUCCACCAAGCUACAUCAUUUCAAAGUGAACUGUUUACCCAAUCCACUGAACUUGUGCAAUGAGUCUGAAAGAGAUGCAGUAGAACCAUCUUUUAGAGAUAAAUAUGUUGUAUCUAUGUAUCUAAAUAUGUGCCUAUUCCUUGGACAUCGAAAGGAUGAUUUUUUAAAAUUUAUUUUAAAUUUAUGGCAACUUCUGUUUUGGCAGUUUCUGAAAAAGCUUCUUAGUUCAGACUCAUUCUGAUGCAGUAGCUUUUAGAAACUGAGCUUGCAGGACAAAAUACAGCCAGCAUUAAGGAAAAGAAUGUUAUUUAUGAACUGCAAGCAACAGUUCAAUAUUUCAAGUCCAUUAGUCAUUUACUCAUAUCAACUUUAAGUCCAUCCAAGGCAGAUUUAUGAAUGUAGCUCCUAACAAACAGUAGUCACUUUCCACUUCUUAAAUCUGUUUAAUAUUUGCAGAAGUUUAAAAAAAAAUUGCCAGUGUAUGCACUGAGGGGAUUGGCAUCUUGUGUCUUUCAUAUACAUGACAUAACUACUAAAAUACGCUUUAAAAGACUGGCAACAAGUAGCAGAUAUUUUGUUUUGACAAAUUGCUGAAAGCUUGUAAUUACGUGAAGAUGUACAGAAAAAAAAAAACUUUGCUGGAGAAAUUUGCUUGUUUGUUUGUUGUUCCUAUUUGUAAGAAUAAAUAUUCCAAGAAUGGUGUAAAUUUAUUGGCAUCAUUAGUCAUUCUUGCUAUUGUUACUGAAGAAUUGAGCAUUAUCAAUAAUUGAUUUGUUUGUAUUGCAUUAUUUUUAUCUUUGGAUAUUCAGCAUGCUUCAGAGGUUUGAGAGUGCUAGGCCAUAAUUAGUUUGAUAAUGACCAAUAGUAAUAAGGACUAGUAAGGGUGACUUAGCCA